GCUUAGAUGAUGGAAUAAGCUCCUUCAAGCUAUAUAAUUCAAGCAAGGUGGAGACUUUCAAAUGGAUUGGUGGUUGCAAAAACUUGAUGGUGGUGGGAAUAUUGGGCACAUAUGGUGGGUUUAAUGUAAUGAGAUGAUGACUCUUCCUCCAAGCUAUAUGACUCAGGAAAUGGGAGAGGUUAUGGUGGUGUUUAGGUGAUCUCAAGAGAGGUUGGGCUAACUCUUAAGGAAGGAUGACUAUAAGAAACCUAGAUUAGGUGUUCUAACCUUGGUGACCUAAGUUGAGUAAUAUGUUAAUAAUUUGGCAACAUAACAAUACUCAAUUCAAAGAUGAACUUACAUGAAGAAACCUCUAUUUAUAAGCUUAAGUAACCCUAAAGGUAUUUCUAAAUUGUCAAAGCAAAACCCUAAUACUCUAACUU
rnacentral:lncRNA from 1 species